GGCUCUGUAGUGAAAUUCAUGGUGAGUUGCAAGCUCAUUGAUGCGCAUUGAUCUGCGUCGGGGCCU
rnacentral:tRNA from 1 species